rnacentral:rRNA from 1 species
CAGCACCUCAAGUGGUCAGGAUGAUUAUUGGGCUUAAAGCGUCCGUAGCCGGCUUAGCAAGUUUCCUGUUAAACCCAGCGACUCAAUCGUUGGAUCGCGGGAAAUACUACUAGGCUAGGAGGCGGGAGAGGUCAACGGUACUUCUGGGGUAGGGGUGAAAUCCUAUAAUCCCGGGAGGACCACCAGUGGCGAAGGCUGUUGACUAGAACGCGCUCGACGGUGAGGGACGAAAGCUGGGGGAGCGAACCGGAUUAGAUACCCGAGUAGUCC